rnacentral:tRNA from 1 species
GGGGCUGUAGCUCAGUUGGCUAGAGCACCUGCUUUGCAAGCAGGGGGUCGUGGGUUCGAGUCCCAUCAGCUCCACAA